rnacentral:rRNA from 1 species
UACGAAGGGGGCUAGCGUUGUUCGGAAUCACUGGGCGUAAAGCGCACGUAGGCGGAUCUUUAAGUCAGGGGUGAAAUCCCGAGGCUCAACCUCGGUACUGCCUUUGAUACUGGGGAUCUCGAGUCCGGGAGAGGUGAGUGGAACUGCGAGUGUAGAGGUGAAAUUCGUAGAUAUUCGCAAGAACACCAGUGGCGAAGGCGGCUCACUGGCCCGGAACUGACGCUGAGGUGCGAAAGCGUGGGGAGCAAACAGG